CCUACGGGAGGCAGCAGUGGGGAAUUUUGGACAAUGGGGGCAACCCUGAUCCAGCCAUGCCGCGUGAGUGAAGAAGGCCUUCGGGUUGUAAAGCUCUUUCGGCCGGAACGAAAUCGCGCACGUGAAUAACGUGCGUGGAUGACGGUACCGGAGUAAGAAGCACCGGCUAACUACGUGCCAGCAGCCGCGGUAAUACGUAGGGUGCGAGCGUUAAUCGGAAUUACUGGGCGUAAAGCGUGCGCAGGCGGUUCGCUAAGUCAGACGUGAAAGCCCCGGGCUUAACCUGGGAACGGCGUUUGAAACUGGCGGGCUCGAGUACGGCAGAGGGGGGUGGAAUUCCACGUGUAGCAGUGAAAUGCGUAGAUAUGUGGAGGAACACCGAUGGCGAAGGCAGCCCCCUGGGCCGAUACUGACGCUCAUGCACGAAAGCGUGGGGAGCAAACAGGAUUAGAUACCCUGGUAGUCCACGCCCUAAACUAUGUCAACUAGUUGUCGGGGAAGCAAUUCCUUGGUAACGCAGCUAACGCGUGAAGUUGACCGCCUGGGGGAGGUACGGUCGCGAGAUUAAACUUAAAGUAAGUUAGACGGCGUGAGACGUGCCGACGGACGACGACGAGGGAGUAGG
rnacentral:rRNA from 1 species